rnacentral:rRNA from 1 species
UACGUAGGGUGCAGGCGUUAAUCGGAAUUACUGGGCGUAAAGGGCUCGUAGGUGGCCAACUAAGUCAUACGUGAAAUCCCUCGGCUUAACCGGGGAACUGCGUCUGAUACUGGAUGGCUUGAGGUUGGGAGAGGGAUGCGGAAUUCCAGGUGUAGCGGUGAAAUGCGUAGAUAUCUGGAGGAACACCGGUGGCGAAGGCGGCAUCCUGGACCAAUUCUGACACUGAGGAGCGAAAGCCAGGGGAGCAAACGGG